GGUAUUAACCGGUCACUACCAAAUUACAAAUCUCCAACUUCCCUCUCUCCCAAAAUUUCCCUCCUAUACCCUAAAUCAAUUUCCCUCUCUAGAAUUAGAAUUGCUAGUCCAUUUUCCAUCUACGCAGAUCUCCACCAAGGUUAAUGGAGCACACAACUAUCGCACCAAUGGGAGCCACCACCACCGGCGUUCUCUGUCUAUCUCCUCCCUUUGUCCACUACACCACCAUCGCUGACUGUUGACCACCGUAUGCUGCUGCAAUCCGACGUCCCAGUGCCCUUGCCCCUUUACGAUUUGCCAGCCUGGUCCAAAUUAUGUAAGACUUUUCUCGUUUCUGAACAUUUACUAGGAUCAUCAUAAACCCCCUUAAUUUUUAGUCGCGUUGAUAUUCUUAUUGCUAAUUUGAAUGCCAUGUUUGUUCCCAAUUUUAUGUUGUUUGUUGUUGUAAUUUUGCUACCUUUUAUAACUUAAGUGAUUUAUUGUAUUGUGAAAGUUGUAUGAUUCACCUACCCUUUCACUCGAGUCCAACAAUUUUUGUAUGUUUAUUAUUGUCAUAAUUUUAUACAUAGAAUGUAUUUUCUGCAGAUGUAAAAGAAACAUAAGAUGAUGAAUGUAUUGUGGGGUUACUAUUAAAAUUAAUAAUUUGUCUAGUAUUCAGUUUCAUUAGUUAGCAUAGUGGCUUCUUUUUAAUAACUUUUCUUAGACUGCAGGGAGUGGGGCGUUGGUUGGGGCGGGGAAACCCCUUCAACGCCAGCUACUCCAUUCCGGGUUGGCGUUGGUUGGGGCGGUGUAUUUCAUUUUGGUCAUGCGUUAAACACGUGUGAACUUAACACAGUAAUAUGUUAAUAUCAUAAUUACGUUGGUUAUUUGGCUCACAUGUUAGGUUAGUCACUUACUCACUUUUGCAUAACCACUCUUGAACGCUUUUGUUUUUCACUUUUCAAAUAAUAAAGGUGGUCAUUUCGACCUACCUACCUAAAAGUGGGUCGACUUGGGUUUUAUCUUAUCCUGAACUUUUCAAAUGGGCAGAAUUAAGAAAAUUUGAGUCUUAACAGGUCAAACAAAUCAAAAGAAUCCCUAAGUGUAUUCAAACGCUUAGAACCUUGUGCUAUUAUAACUUUUUAUUAUUACCUUAGUAGUAUAGUUUUUCAAAUAAUAGAAAACAUUAUUUAGACAACAAAAACUGCUGAAGGAUCAACCCAAACAGACCCGUUACCAAUAUUCCACCUAUACUAGACUUGGUUUUAAAUGCGCUUAUCAGGAGCGCCUAAUGCGCACAUCACGUGUAGACAUGCGGUGAUGAGAUCCCAUCACAUGAUGCGAUUCCAGGACGCGCACAUCACUUGAUGCGGCACUUUAUGCAGUUGACCAAUAUAUGAACAAAUUUGACCGUGAUUGCAACGGAUCUGAGUUUUCAAAUCUGAGUGAACAAAUCUAACGAUUGCAGCAAUGAGCUGUAGUAUUUGAACAAAUAGGCCACGGAUUGAACAAAUAUGACUAGAGAUGAUAAGAAUGUUAUACAUUUUAUUGUUUAAAAGUAGACAACCAAUUAUCCAUAAAUUAUUUUUUUUAGUAUUUUUAUAAUAACGAACGUCUCACAGACAUGAUGUGUGCGCUUCGCAUAUCGUGCAUCACACAUUGGCUUUUGAUAUUAAAACGCAUCGGAUCGUCACAUGCCUUUUAAAACCAAGCCACUAGAGCCUUAUGGGUGGCAUAAAGGACAGGUCAGGAUCGUCAGGUGAGGUAGUAACUGGUUCCACUGGGCUGGGUUGAUUGCAAUGUAUGUAACUCCGGCAAAUCGAGAUGUUGAUCUCUGUUGGUGAUUGGAUUCUUCUGGUGCUUGUUCUCUGUAGAUAGGGCUGAUGACUGCUGGCUUGCUACAUGCAAGGAUAACAUGAAUUGUGAUAUAACGUCUCCAUAUUGUGGCGAAAACCUUAUGGUGGAUUAUGCAUUUUUAACACAAGUUGCAAACCUCUUCAACCAUAUUAAAUAACUCUGGUAGUAAGCAUUUUAUUAUUUUUCAAUCAGUUAGCUCGCUUGGUCAAAACCUCAAGACAAGUACCUACUUAUGGGAUUCUUGGACAAGUAUUAUUCUAGUUUCUUCUUCUAGGCAACAUAUAUCUUUACUCAAUGACAUUAAGAGUAGAAAUGAGGGUAAAAAGGAGGGAUGCAGAGGUAUGGAUGUCAGUCCCACAAGAUGCUUCCUGAAGAUCUGAAGGAAGGUGUGACACUCUAUGAGUAUGAACAAAAGAAAAUAGGAAGUCAAUGAAGAAUCUCUUGUUCACAAGCUGCCCGAGGACUUAUGGAAGGACAUAAAGCUCAAUGGACAAUACAACCGGCAACCAAACUGCCAAAUUGUUCAUGUAAAAUAACAUCAGGCAUAUAUAAUAUCUCAUACUGCUCCAGGUAUAGAAAAACACCCACAAAUCAGUAGCAUCACAAGGCUGUUUGGAAGAUUUUAUUAUCAAACCUAGCAACCUAUUCCUUAUAUUGCCUUUUCCAUUGUAAUUGACACCUUUAUUUUUAUUUUGAUUACAUUGUAAUAUUGAGUUUGGACAUAUGUUAAUAUAUAUAAGGGUAUCUUUUGUAUUUUUCUUACUAUUGUAUUGGUGUAAUUGAGAUAAUAAUAUAAAUUAUAGUACUUUAAACAAUGAUGU
rnacentral:lncRNA from 1 species